rnacentral:snoRNA from 1 species
GUGAAAUGAUGAUGAUGCAUCCAUUCUCCAAGCAUGCUGCCCUGUCCUCUUGGCGCUUUGGUACUCUCAUUCUGGGGGCUCGGAGCUUUGCAGCCACUACAUUCCCAGCUGUCUUCCAGCAUUCUGUUGGGGACAGUGGGUGGAUAUAGGGCCUGUAGUCAGGAAUGGGACAGUGGCAGCCAAGAUGAUGCCCCUUCUGUUUGGGGUUCCAUUGGGCUGAGACGAAAGCUGAUAGUCUGAUCAC